rnacentral:rRNA from 1 species
GAGUUUGAUUCUGGCUCAGGACGAACGCUGGCGGCGUGCCUAAUACAUGCAAGUCGAACGAGGCCGGACCUUCGGGUCCAAUGGUCGAGUGGCGAACGGGUGAGUAACACGUGAGAAACCUGCCCUGGAGACCGGGACAACCACGGGAAACUGUGGCUAAUACCGGAUGCCCUCGGAUGGUCGCAUGACCGACCGAGGAAAUGCUCAGGCGCUCUAGGAGGGUCUCGCGGCCUAUCAGCUAGUUGGUGGGGUAAUGGCCCACCAAGGCAUCGACGGGUAGCUGGUCUGAGAGGACGAUCAGCCACACUGGGACUGAGACACGGCCCAGACUCCUACGGGAGGCAGCAGUAGGGAAUCUUGCGCAAUGGGCGAAAGCCUGACGCAGCAACGCCGCGUGAGGGAUGAAGGCUCUCGGGUUGUAAACCUCUUUCAGCAGGGACGAAAAUGACGGUACCUGCAGAAGAAGCUCCGGCCAACUACGUGCCAGCAGCCGCGGUAACACGUAGGGGGCGAGCGUUGUCCGGAUUUAUUGGGCGUAAAGAGCUCGUAGGCUGUUCAGUAAGUCGGGUGUGAAAACUCAGGGCUCAACCCUGAGACGCCAUCCGAUACUGCUGUGACUAGAGUC